AGAUAAGAAGCCCAUGGCUGGAGGGAACCGGUCUCUUCUUUUCAUUGUCUCCUAUCAUCUAGUCCUGUGCCUGGCACAGGCAUUUGCUUUGCACCUGUCAGAUGAAUGAAUGCAUGCACAAAAAUGGCAAGGAAUACAGAUACGUGAAAAUCCUUUCAAUGUUAAAAAUCAUCUAACACGGAUCACAGGAACUGAGGAAUGGGAGCUGUUGAAAGAGUUGCCAUUAACAUUAAAUCAGCCUAUGAGGAGGCCCAGAUGGCAAGAAACUAAAGUCUCUGGCCAACAGACAGUGAGGAGGUGAAGUCUGCCAAUAACCAUGAAAGUGAACUUGCAACUAGAUCCUUCGACCUGGUCAAGUCUUGAGAUGACUACAGCACCAGCUGGCAUCUUGACUGUAACCUCUAGAGAGACCCUGAGCCAGAAACAAUCAGGGAAGUCUCCUGAAUGAGUUUAAGAUUUAAAAGAAAAAGAAAACAAGGAAAACAAAGGGAAGCCAACAAAUCUGUAAAAGGCAAGAACAGUAACAACGAUAUGGCCAAAACAAGCACUCAUGAUUAAUACAGGUGAGUCAAAUGCUCGGUUAUUUCCCUCCUGAUUGCUAGAAUUAUUUCUGAAAAAAAAUCACUGAAUCUCCUCUUUGAAGAAUUUAUAG